GUCGACGGCAGCACGGGAGCAAUCCUGGUGGCGAGUGGCGAACGGGUGAGUAAUGUAUCGGAACGUACCUUUCAGUGGGGGAUAACGUAGCGAAAGUUACGCUAAUACCGCAUAUUCUGUGAGCAGGAAAGCAGGGGAUCGCAAGACCUUGCGCUGAUUGAGCGGCCGAUAUCAGAUUAGCUAGUUGGUGAGGUAAAGGCUCACCAAGGCGACGAUCUGUAGCGGGUCUGAGAGGAUGAUCCGCCACACUGGAACUGAGACACGGUCCAGACUCCUACGGGAGGCAGCAGUGGGGAAUUUUGGACAAUGGGGGCAACCCUGAUCCAGCCAUGCCGCGUGAGUGAAGAAGGCCUUCGGGUUGUAAAGCUCUUUCAGCCGGGAAGAAAUCACAUGGGUUAAUACCCUGUGUGGAUGACGGUACCGGAAUAAGAAGCACCGGCUAACUACGUGCCAGCAGCCGCGGUAAUACGUAGGGUGCGAGCGUUAAUCGGAAUUACUGGGCGUAAAGCGUGCGCAGGCGGUUUGUUAAGAUAGGCGUGAAAUCCCCGGGCUCAACCUGGGAACUGCGUUUAUGACUGGCAGGCUAGAGUAUGGCAGAGGGGGGUGGAAUUCCACGUGUAGCAGUGAAAUGCGUAGAGAUGUGGAGGAACACCGAUGGCGAAGGCAGCCCCCUGGGCCAAUACUGACGCUCAUGCACGAAAGCGUGGGUAGCAAACAGGAUUAGAUACCCUGGUAGUCCACGCCCUAAACGAUGUCAACUAGGUGUUGGGUGGGUAAAACCAUUUAGUACCGGAGCUAACGCGUGAAGUUGACCGCCUGGG
rnacentral:rRNA from 1 species